rnacentral:rRNA from 1 species
UGGGGAAUUUUGCACAAUGGGGGGAACCUUGAUGCAGCGACGCCGCGUGAGGGAUGGAGGCCUUCGGGUUGUGAACCUCUUUCGCCCGGGUGCAAGCCGCUAUUUGGGUAGUGGUGAGUGUAGCGGGUAAAGAAGCGCCGGCUAACUACGUGCCAGCAGCCGCGGUAAUACGUAGGGCGCGAGCGUUGUCCGGAUUUAUUGGGCGUAAAGGGCUUGUAGGCGGUUUGUCGCGCCUGUCGUGUAAUCCUCUGGCUUAACUGGGGGUGUGCGGUGGGUAAAGGCAGGCUUGUGUGCGGUAGGGGAGAUUGGAAUUCCUGGUUUAGCGGUGGAAUGCGCAGAUAUCAGGAGGAACACCGGUGGCGACGGCGGGUCUCUGGGCCGUUACUGACGCUGAGGAGCGAAAGCGUGGGGAGCGAACAGG